AUGAAAACCGGGUCGAACUUAGAAUCAUUGGUUGUUCCAAAAAGUGAUGAAAAACCAAGGGACUUGCGUUCAUGGGCGAAGAAAACAGAUUUUGUUACUGAUUACUCAGGAGAAGCGGGGUCAAGUGGAAGUGAAAAGUUUGAGCUUUUUGAACAGAGAGGAAGAGGGUCUUCUUCUACUGAGAUGGAGAUAGGACAGAACAAGGAUGUUGAGAUCCAACGUGCGAAUGCAUGGUGUUGUUGUUGGUUUAAGUGUUUGGGAAAUAGAAAUGUUAAGCCUGUGUAUAUGAGAAGUGACAAAUGA